rnacentral:rRNA from 1 species
CAGGAUGAACGCUAGCGGCAGGCUUAACACAUGCAAGUCGAGGGGUAGCAGGGAGCUUGCUCCGCUGACGACCGGCGAACGGGUGCGUAACGCGUAUAGAAUCUACCUCUUACUAAGGGAUAGCCCAGAGAAAUUUGGAUUAAUAUCUUAUAGUAUGUUAACUUGGCAUCAAGAUAACAUUAAAGGUUACGGUAAGAGAUGACUAUGCGUCCUAUUAGCUAGAUGGUGUGGUAACGGCACACCAUGGCAACGAUAGGUAGGGGCCCUGAGAGGGGGAUCCCCCACACUGGUACUGAGACACGGACCAGACUCCUACGGGAGGCAGCAGUGAGGAAUAUUGGACAAUGGAGGCAACUCUGAUCCAGCCAUGCCGCGUGCAGGAAGACUGCCCUAUGGGUUGUAAACUGCUUUUAUACAGGAAGAAACACUCUCACGUGUGAGAGCUUGACGGUACUGUAAGAAUAAGGAUCGGCUAACUCCGUGCCAGCAGCCGCGGUAAUACGGAGGAUCCAAGCGUUAUCCGGAAUCAUUGGGUUUAAAGGGUCCGUAGGUGGAUAAUUAAGUCAGAGGUGAAAUCCUGCAGCUCAACUGUAGAAUUGCCUUUGAUACUGGUUGUCUUGAGUUAUUAUGAAGUAGUUAGAAUAUGUAGUGUAGCGGUGAAAUGCAUAGAUAUUACAUAGAAUACCAAUUGCGAAGGCAGAUUACUAAUAAUAUACUGACACUGAUGGACGAAAGCGUGGGGAGCGAACAGGAUUAGAUACCCUGGUAGUCCACGCCGUAAACGAUGGUCACUAGCUGUUCGAACUUCGGUUUGAGUGGCUAAGCGAAAGUGAUA